UCUUCCCUUUCUAUUUUUGCUUCAUGUCCUGAAGUCCAAGGAUAAAGGAGCUGCAGAUCCAGGCACAGCUCCAUCCCUUGCACCAGCCCAGGGUAUUGGAAGGAUUUGGGAGAGAGGUGUGACUGGGACUCCCUGAGACCAACAGAGAUGGGGGAACUGCCUCGAGGGCUGAGCCUGGUGAUGGUGACACUGCAGCUGGUGGCACAACCCAUAAGCUGCCCUGACACAGUGGUGCUGGAGGCAGCCCUGGGCCCUGCUGCCAUACUGAGCUCCUGAUGAUAUUCAGAUUUUCGGCACAGGCUGAUGACAGGGUGUUCCUGGGGAGCCACGCAUCAGGAGGAGGAACAUGCCCAGAAACUGCCAGUGGGCUUUCUCUGGUUGGUCGAGGGAAAAUCCUGAUGAGAGCAGAGCUUCCCACUAAGGAACAUGGUAUCCGAUUUUCCUUGCGUGGGGGAUCAACAGAUGCCAAACCUGGGCAGCUCCAAGGGCAUGUGCUCAGCUCGAGGUGGGUGAGCUGGUCCAACAACAGCAUCUGAGCUCAAAGCUCAGGCACAGACUUGGACCUGUGUCAGCUCUUUGUUGCCGUGUGUGAGCAGAAUUCCCAGGAACGGAAACGCCCGUCUGCCAGGUUUUCACAGAAGUGAAUGGAAAGCAGUGGAGUUUUUUCAGCUCCUGGGGCCUGUGUGUCUUGUGAAGGGGGGUGUAAAAAUCUCAAAAAAUCCAGGACCCAAGAAUGAAAAUCCAGAAAAAUCUUGACUAAAGAAUAAGAUAUAUUUCCCAUCGGAAAACGCACACGGCAGACAAAGCCUUGAUUUCAUCACUUGUUUUUGGCCCCCACUCUGCAGAGCCUGAGCCACCCCUUCCCUUUACAUCCUCGACGUGACCUUCUACAGCAGCAGGAAAUAUCCCGACUUCCCCGACGCGUCCCGAGGCCGGUAUUCCUGGACACCCUGUUACGUAGCUGAGUUCACAGCCUGGAUGCAGCGGGUCAGGCGGGUGGAGAGACGUCACUGCUGCCUCGUCUGGUCCCUGGGGGCGCGGCCGUGACUCUCCCCGAGCUCUCCCUUCAGCCACCGGAGCCAGGACGGGAGCCCGAGAGUUGCGCUGUCUGAGUCACGAACCGAGCAGGGAGAGGUCUGGGGAGAGGUUUGAUCCCCAGCUGGGGUUUUCAGGACUGUGCCUCAAGGUCUGGUGCUUCUCCCCUCUCUGCUGUGUGAGGAGUGUGUCCCCUGGCAUUUACCCCAUCUAAAGGUCUGCUACCCUUUCCUGCAGGUCUCUUCCUGGGGGGAAAACCAGCUGGGGCCCCACGGGGAUGGGCAGGGACCUAGCAGGGUCCUUGUGACCGUGGCUGCUCCUGGCUGCGGGUGCAGCACAGCUGAACCCAACAGAGUGUCACCCCCGCCCUGGGCAGCCGUGUGCUGCCAGCCUGGCUCCAGCAGCUCACACUAUCCCUCACUGCACAAGUGUCCUGUGGGAGGGGGACCUGCCCAGCACCAGAGCAGAAGGGAAGCGGGGGAAACAACCUCCUGAGCAAAGUGGGAAAUGGACACAGAGUGUGAAAGAGCUCAGGAGCCCACGCAGCUCGUACCCAGCACUCACCCAGCACAGUGGGGUAAGGAGGGCACAUCCCCAAGGGCCCUCAUAGAUAUUCAUUCUGGGAUGGCUAAAAACCUUCCUGGGCAGCAGAAGUAACCUGGAGGUGUAUCACACAGCGCAGCCAAAAGAGCUGUUUGUGUUGCAUCAGGAGAUCCAGCCCGCGAGGGGCUGUGCCAGGGGGACAGAGGGGUCACGGCCGCUGGCAGACCAGGACUGAUAAGUGCUGAGCAGUGCCAGAGCUGCCUCUGCCCCAUCACAGGGGAGGAGACAGGUGGCCAGGAGUGACAGCAGGGCUGUGGAUGAACUCUGUGGACUUCGCUUGUAUCUGCUGCAGUGGCUCUGGGCAUCUCCUUCCAGAAACUACAGAUGAAAUGAAGGGAUGUUCAAAAACACCUGGAGAAAUACCCUGUCACCCUUGUGCCCACCAAAGGCUCUUCCAAAGCCACUGUCUGUCACUAGCCAAAGGCUGCUGGUAAAAGGGAAGCCACUGUUGCCAGAAAGGGAAAGCAGAGCCCAGCCCUGGCCCUGGUGGUCUGGCCCUUUCCACAGAGGCUCGUGAGCAGACUGAGUGUGCCAAGGGGCAGCCUCAUCCCCAGGAACCUGGAGCUCCUUGCACCAUGAGCUGGGAGCCCAGCCAGCCAGAGCCCCUAAUUCGAAACGCAUGUUGGUUGAACCGAGAGAUGACUGUAAAAAUAAGGGUCGGAUUUCUCUGGUUGCAAAGCCUCCCACGUUACCCCAAGCCCUCCAGUUUCCUGCCUUCUGGCAUGUGUGACCUUCAGCACAGUAACCCCGGUGCUCCCUGAGGAGCCCGGGAUGGCAGGAAGAAUAAAGGGGAGUGAAGACUUGCAUAAUGUUCAUCCAGCAUUGCCAGGAAAAUAAGGAGAAUGCUUGGACCGAGAACAUCACUGGCCUUUUAUGUCGGCUCUUCAAGUGUGAAAAUGGGCCUCCUGCUCCAGGCUGAUGGGGCCCGGGACCCUCCUUGGGUGAGAGGGACCCCAAAGUGGCUGCAACCCUACCCCAUGCUCCAGAGUCCCCAGAAGACACUGCAACCCGGGUAUUGAUGUCUUGUCCCCUCACUCGGGCUGCUGGUGGUUUACCCAGGGCUGCCUCGUGCUGGCAGAGAAAGCCGGAGGAAAGAGGAUGGGAAUGGAGCUGAUGGCACGGCUGAGCUCCUGAUGCAGCUGGUCCUCGCUGGGGGUGGAGGGCUGGGGCCAAUUUUCCGUCUUUCUGACUGACUCUGCUUGGAAGUCCAUCUCUGCCCAAGAAGCAGCAGCAUCGAGAGCGGAAGUUUUGGGCACUCUCUGACAGGGGUGGGGUGGUGUCCCCAGCCCUGGGGAAGGACGAGGCUGUGCUCCAGCAGCCUGAGCCACCUCGCUGUCACCAGUCCCCUUGGUGAGGGUACAACCAAGCUGGGCAGGCUGCAGGAGCUGUGCUGCCGUGUGACCCCGGGGCAGGAGCCGCACGACCCCUCUCCAGAGCGGGGAGUGACAGAGUUUGAGCCAGCGGAGCUUGUGCUCGGGAAAAGCAGGAAUGGCGACCUCAGGGGUGGGGGGUUUAGCAGGCUGUUUGGCUGCAGGGCCAGGAGAGCAUGUGUGAUGGAUAAGUCCUUGCCAGGACCAGGUGUGAGCAGAGACUGGGGCGAUGGAGUGCCUGCUCCAUCCGGGAAUGCUGCCAGUGCCUGUCGGGGUGAGACGUGCUGCUGCGCCCAGACGGGGGCCGGGAGGAAAUCCCUGUUGGAUGUUUCCCGACCUCCAGUGAAUCAGAGUAACUGUUCCCCUGGAGAACCUAAAUUUAUCCCUGAAGUGGUGACAGCGUAAUUCACACAUGUUCUAUUCCCUCUCACUGGAGUCUCCCUGACGUUUGCCAUUUCCAACAACAAAGCAACACUGUGAUCAACCUUCCUGUAAAUCUGCUUUGCUCCCAUCCCUCCUGGUGACAUAAGCCCCGGGCGGAGCAGCUGCAGGAAUUCGUGUGAGUUCAGACCAGGCUGAACUUUCACACAGUGACCUGCCAGGUCAGCCUGGGAAGGAGUGGGGUAGAGAAAAAAGGCAGGGAACAAAGACACCCACCACAGCCCACCUGCUCACAGCCUGAUGUGCAUGAGACAGUGGGACAGGGAUGGGAACAGGGACAGGGAUGGGGAUGGGGACACGGAUCGAGAUGGGGAUGUACUUCCAGGCAUGUGGGGGCUGUUUGGAGGAGCUACAUGUGGUGUGUGCUGCGUUUCCUGAGUGGCUGAGCUGGUGGGAUUGCACGGAAGAGGAGAUGGGGAUGGAGAUGGCUGCAGUGAUAGGGAUAAGGAUAGGGAUUGAGGAAUGGGAAUGGGAGUGUCCCUUGUCCUGCAGAGAGACCUCCACAGAAAAUAACUUUCUCUGGAGUCUACUGUUCCCUGCCCAGGGGCUGGCCCCCCAUGGAGCACACAGAGACCCAGAAACAUCCCCGAGGGCCAUCGAGCCCUGCUGCUUCCUGAGCUGCUCCGGGUCCUAAGGCCACCAAGCUGGGGCAGGGUCCUUGUGGGGUCCUUUCUGGGGACCUGUGCAGGGGAAAGGGUCCCUCAUGCCCCAAGACCAGACCUUGACCUUUCCCCAGCCCCAAACCAAGCCGGGUAGUUGGGACCCCCCAGGGAUUUUGGCUGUAACCAUUUUCCAUGCAGGGCAGAGCAAGGCACAGAGAAAUGCCCCAGGAGCUCAGACCCUGCUGUUUUUAGCUCCAUUUUAACUCAAGAGCACCUGGCUCUGUGGAGAGCACCUUCCUGUUGGCCUGUGGUCAUUCCCAGCCCAACAGCUCAAGGCAGCUCAAGGCCUCCAAGGGCUUUGCAUUAGUGUACCUUAAAAAUUCGCAUUUCUCAGGGCAAAUUUGAGGAUUCCCCACAGGAAAGCGCACAGCCAAAGGAAAACACAUAAGUCAUGUGCCUUCUCAAAAGACUUUGGCUUCUCACACUCCCUGUCUCCUGCCUCAGCACAAACACUGCCACUGCAGAAACAACCAGUGGGAACACGUCCUCUGCGGCCCCCGGCGGCACAACCCCGCUGUUUCCCAGGACAAGCUCCAGGGUUGGGUAAGGGCGGGCAGGGAGCAGAGCUCACUCAGGAUUCAUUUGGCAUGACGUCGUUGACCCACACCAGCACAUGAAACUGUGCUUCCCUGUUUGUCCCAGUGACUUGGGGGUUGGUGUUUCCCUGUCCAGAGUGCUCCAGCCCUGGGCUCUGUGGGUAUGGCUCCUGCCAGCUCUCUCCCUCCUGGGAUGCCAUAAACCAGCAGUACAAGCUGAAAAGGAGAGUUUUCAUUUUUCCCAGACUCCCAGACUCUGGGAAGUUUUAGACAGAGCUUUGGCUGCCCCUACAGCACUCGGGGGUGGUAGGUAUGGUGGCAGAUCUGUCCUUAGGGGUGGCCAUGACCUGGGAGGGGGCACAGGCCAGCCAGGGGCACCCCACAGUGCCUCACAGGGACCCCAGGCCCAACAGAGAAGCCUCAGUGGGGGGAAAAAUGAGACCCCCUCCCCAUCACUACCACCCCCCUGUAUGUUCCCAGAUCCUCUCCAGCAACAGUGGCAGAGGGAGCACAGAGGGACCCCUAAACUCACAAAGAUUUGGAAGAAGCAAUUCACAUUUUUUUUAUCGUUUCUUUUUCCUGUGCAAUGUUUCCUAUCUGUUUUUUCCCCCUCUUUCCUCAUUUGAAAAAUUCCUUCUGACCAUGAAAUAAACACAAAAGCAGUGGCUGGUGGAGGGGGCUGGGGCUCUCCAAACUCUGAAAUUUCCCCAAUUCCUCCUUAUCCAGCUCCUACCUCCACGACUCCACCCUGAGCUGUUGCUGCUGGGCGCUUGCCCCGAGGCCUCUCACUCACCCUUUGGCCGGCAGCAGCCUGGGAAAUGCUUGGAGAUGGCUCUGGAGAACAAGGCCCUUGUUUAUUCCCACAGAAGGCUCCCACACCUUUGUCCAUAAACACACCUGCACUACAGGGGUGCUUUGCUCCCAACAACAGGGAGGGUAUCCCCUCAAAGGAAAAAAAAUAUGGGAAACCCUGAAUAUUAGUUGCCUGCUUGGACAUGGGAAUGUAAGUUUGGCUGAUGGAAGUGUUGGAUGAGCAUGUCAUUGCUUUGGAAAGGCUGAGUGCCAUGGGAGAGGCUGGGCUGAGAAAUCAGCUCUGCAGAGCCGCUGAUCAGUAGAGCUGCAGAUCUCAAAUGAGACUCCUGGCAAAAAUUCCUCAGGGAAGAGCUGUGUGGGGCCAGGAAGCUGCACCCAAUGGCCACUACCCUUCGGAAGCUCCUGUGCCACCACCUUGCCUGCAUCCCCAGGUGACAGGGGGACUACAGGAAGGGUAAACCUUCCUGCCAGCUGUUUUUGGACACGAA